CUUACCCGAGAGCGUGGUCUGAAGUGAGAAAAGAGAAGGAACAAUGUCUGAUGGCGCGUUUUUGAAGAUCUGACCUGUAACUUGGCCUUGUGAUGUGGCCUGAAGAAGAUCUACAUGGAGUUGAGGAAGUGACGGACUCUCUGCCCGAGCGUUCAUGAUCAGGCCGUACAACAACAGUUCAUGCCUUUUCAUUUGGAGUCUUCGGUGUCUUGCGCCCUCUGCUGGUUACAGUGGAGAUUGAAACAUGUUUACGUCACAAACCAGGAUGACGUUUGGAAAGAUGCGAUGACGACUUCUGGUGAGCUCUGUUCACACAACCCUGGAGGAAGUGUCCGGGGUGAAGGAAGUCUGGGAGUUCCUGCUUAGACAAUCUGGAAGAUCGUACUUGAACGCCUCGAUCAGCCCUUCGAUGGAGUGAAUGAGUCCGGAGAUUGCGCAGAUCCCGCCCACGAAAAAGAUGGCGACAUCGAAGAAAACGUGGUGCCAGAGGAGGUUCCUCCACUGCAGCUUGAGGUGGAAGAGGCUGGGGAGAAGGAAGGCCAACCCCGCUCCGGUCAAGCUCCCGGUCAGCCCCAUCAGGAGGGCGAAGUGUGGAACGAAAACAGCCAUGAGUAAAGUGAAGACCACCAGGGCCACUCUCAGUCCGAGUCCCCAGGUUUUGAGCUGCCCAUUGGGGCCGUAGCAGUCCGGAAACAGGGCCCUGCCUCCGUCCUGGAACAGCGAUUUCUCCAGGACUUCAACAGCGGCAAAAAACGGCAACGGGUAAGACAACAACGCUUUAGCUACCAGAAAGAGAUUGACCACCGCGCGGAUG